UGAACUUUCCUUAACGUCUUCCAGAGCAGAGCUGACCUGUUCCUCCUGAGCCUGGACCUGGGGUGGACUAUUUCAGAAAGUCUGGCCAGAUGUGAGCCAGCAGCUGCCUCCAAAAGGGAUGGAGGAGAUGAACCUGUGAUGGACAGAUCAUGCUUAGUGACCUUGAAAGUUUUUAGGACGCCACUGUCUCUGCAUUAGUGCACUAUCUCUUACCUGGAAAAGCAUUACUUCACCAAGCCACCUGCACAAAAUCACAUCCAAGUGUUUCUUCCUUAAUAGCCCCACUUAAUCAGAUUUUCCACUCUUGAGCUGCUUCAGGUACUGUCUCAGGAGUAGCAGACACUGCUGUGCAACAGGGACUUGGACAGUGUCUUGCAGUGAACCUGUUGGUCUUGCGGUUUGUAUCCUGAAAUGAUUGUCUUUGCAUCUGCAAAAAAAGGAGCCCGUCAAUCUCAGCAGGUUAGUAGAGGAGGAACAGGCCUGGCUUUGUUUACAUCUGAGAAUACUUUCAUCUGUAGAUUUGGCCCAACCACUUCCCAUUGAGAUGAUUUCCCAGUUCUGUCCUAUGGGGAGAAAGGGGUUUCGCACCUCAACUCAUCCUGGAUAAAGGAGCUCUUAAAGACCACUAGCACUGGGGAAUGGACAGCUGGAGAAAUAAAUGGAUCCUGUGCAAUAACCCUGCAUAAAACACAAAAGAAGUCUCAAGCCCAUGCGAUUUUUCCAGAGGAGUGAAUGAGAAUGGGUCAUCCUUUGUGGCAAUCUGAUAGCUUGGUCUCUGAAAAAGAUACUGUGGAAGGCAACAAUGGACAGAUUAGGAUUUGGAAUAAGAUUUCUGUAUCACAAGUAUCCAACACUAUAUGAGAUGUCUUGAAAAGAGGCAGCUGAAGGGGAGUAUGAUAGAGAUAUGCACAUUCCUGAAAGGCACAAGGAGUAGGAAUAGAAAAUAGCUAUUGACUAUUUAUCUUCUCAGAAGAACCUGUGUAUUUACCAGGCAGAGGCAGUGAUGAAUUAAGGUGGUUCCUCACAUCUCUCCACCAGCCUUGGGCAAGUGGAGAACAGCCUGUGCCUGGCACAUUGCUUCCAGCUUGGUGUCAGCCCUUUAGCCUGUCCUGAUGGAUAAUGAUGGGCCAUUAUUAUGACAUAAAUUAAAACUAACCAGGAGCACCCCCAUCCUCCUUUUCCGGGCAGGCCCGUUUAAUGCAGUUCAUCUGUUAUUGCAUUUUCUUUUUUUGGCCCUUUUUCUUAAUAAUGUCUUUCUUUUCACCACCUGUGAAUUAAAAAUCAGCUAUUUCUGUGCUGACUGCCAGGUUUUAAAGCUCUGCUUUAUCUGUCUGAAAACCGUGUUGUGUUUCUUCUUUUAUAUA